GGGCUUGUGGUCUAGUGGUAUGACAUCUUCUUAGCAUCUUCAGUACCAAGCUGAACGCGAAUGGAGAAGGUCCGGCGUUCAAUUCGCCGCUAGUCCA